rnacentral:rRNA from 1 species
CAGUAGCCACGGGAAUACGUAGGUGGCAGGCGUUGUCCGGAAUUAUUGGGCGUAAAGGGCUCGCAGGCGGUUUCUUAAGUCUGAUGUGAAAGCCCCCGGCUCAACCGGGGAGGGUCAUUGGAAACUGGGAAACUUGAGUGCAGAAGAGGAGAGUGGAAUUCCACGUGUAGCGGUGAAAUGCGUAGAGAUGUGGAGGAACACCAGUGGCGAAGGCGACUCUCUGGUCUGUGACUGACGCUGAGGAGCGAAAGCGUGGGGAGCGAACAGGAUUAGAUACCCCUGUAGUCCCUGUCUCUUAUAC